AAAUAUUUCUAUCACUUUAGAGAUUAUCAUUAUCCAAUAUUAUUAAAAUGGGGUAAUUUAGUUUUAUUAAAUGUUUAUAUUUCACGAAUAUAAUCUUUAAUCAUUUCUUAGGAUAUAUGUGAAUACUUCUAAUUUUUAAAAUAAUGGUUACUCUGAAUUACCCUCCAGGAGGGUUAAUAACCUACCGGGAUUGAUUAAGGGAAUUGCUUAGCUCCGAGGGUUAAUAACUCUAUUUUGUUUUUGAAUGUUUUCU
rnacentral:lncRNA from 1 species